GACGAACGCUGGCGGCGUGCCUAAUACAUGCAAGUCGAGCGCCGAAGGUUGGUACUUGUACCCACUGGAUGAGCAGCGAACGGGUGAGUAACGCGUGGGGAAUCUGCCUUUGAGCGGGGGACAACAUUUGGAAACGAAUGCUAAUACCGCAUAAAAACUUUAAACACAAGUUUCAUGUUUGAAAGAUGCAAUUGCAUCACUCAAAGAUGAUCCCGCGUUGUAUUAGCUAGGUGGUGAGGUAAAGGCUCACCAAGGCGGUGAUACAUAGCCGACCUGAGAGGGACGACGGCCACAUUGGGACUGAGACACGGCCCAAACCUCUUAGGGGGGGCGCAAGAGGGAAACUUCGGCCAUGGACGAAAGGCUGACCGAACAACGCCGGGUGAGGGAAGAAGGUUUUCGGGUCGUAAAAGUCUGUUGGUAGAGAAGGAAGUUGGUGGGGGUGGAAAGCUCAUCAAGUGACGGUAACUACAGAGAAAGGGACGGCUAACUACGUG
rnacentral:rRNA from 1 species